GGAAUGCGAUUUUGUUAAUAAAAAAAAUACUUAUAACUUAUGCAAAACCCAAGAGAGGCAUUUAUAUUUAUUUCUUUUGCGUUCAUUUUCAAAUUCGCCGUGCAUAUAUUUUUGUGCAUGGCGCUUGAGAGGGCAUCACGUGACUAAAAACGACCAACCAACGACCUCGCUUCGGCCAUCUUGGCAUCUUCAUCUUGGCGACCUUGCCUUGCCGUGGAUUGUUUUUAGUUGUUUGUAUUAUUUGUGCUUUUUAAGAAUAUUUUUUUAAUUCGGAUACUUUUAUAAUAGCUUUAAUAGUAUUAUUAACAUAGUGCAUAAAAUGGUGUCCUGUUUUUAACGCAGUUGGAGUAGCAGAAACAAAUGUAGAUAAAAAAAUCUGCAGGAAUAACGUUUCAAUUAUGACAGAAGCUCAAAACAAAUGACUGAAUGAAAAGCCCUAUUAAAAGCUUUCCAGAAGAUCCUGCGAAGAAGACAUGAAGUAUAGAUCAGAUUUGUUAAUAGAGGAGUAUGUUCAAAACACUUUUUAGAAAAAGAUAUUGACAGAACUUCACUUUCAUCUGUUCGUUUGAGAGACUGUGCUGUUCCAAUAGCUUAUGUCACACAGAAUCAGCUGAGAGAAGUGGUCUACAAAAAACCAGAAAGGAAACGGAAUAUGUGGCUACGAAAAGCAAAAGAAAGGUUUACAAAGCAAAUGUGACACAUUUUUUAUAAUAUUUAGGAAUGUCAGCAAAUUACAUUAAAAAAUGUAUGUAAAGAUUUUUUGCAAUAAAAAUGUUUAUAUUUA